UUCAUCUGUUUCAGCAAUUUCUCCCAAGUGCAAGUGAACGUGUGUUCGACAGGCCGAAGAAGUGAGUGACGCAAAAUGGCUGCGAGGGAAUCAUCCGGUGGAACGAGAGGUAGCAGCUGAGAAGACUCCACAUCCCAAUCACCGAGCAGUGCCGCCAGUUUAGUUAAGUUGAUUGUGUAGUUUAAGCCAGUGCAUUGUAGUGUUGUUUUGCUGCAUGUGUGUAUGUGCAUACGUGCCAAAUAAAACUUUAAUUGAAUAUAAAAUUCAAUUUGAGUUUUAUUUGUUAGGAUACCCUUUGCAGAUAGGAUAUGUGAGGACGACCAGUUUCCAGCGUAUAUGCUUGCAA
rnacentral:sRNA from 1 species